UGAAAGGACCAAACGGCUGUUAACAAAUA
rnacentral:piRNA from 1 species